AUGCCAGUAGAUAAACUUGUCUCGUUGGUAGGACAGAUUUUAGGAGCAAAAUUUGAUCCAGAAGAAGAAUAUGUAAGGCAAAGGGCUACCCAAGUUAGCAAGAAUGUCUACCGAGUGGAUUCAUCAUCCUUGGAAUGCACGACAUGUGAUACGUUUAGGAACCAGCAAAUGUUGCGACAUAAAGCCGAAACCGACGUCGAUAUAAAGCAGGAUUAA